CCUGCAGGAUAGUGUGUAUCGGCUUAACGCUUUUUUGUGCGUCUUGUGCCGAAAGUGUUUCCUGCUAUAUUGAUCUGGGGAAAGUGGGCAGUUGGGUUAGGCUUUUGUGCUUUUUUCAACAAUCAUUUUCCUCUCAUUU
rnacentral:snoRNA from 1 species